UCGACCUGAGAUCAGACGAGAUUACCCGCUGAAUUUAAGCA
rnacentral:rRNA from 1 species